rnacentral:rRNA from 1 species
AACGUAGGUGGCAAGCGUUAUCCGGAAUUACUGGGCGUAAAGGGUGUGCAGGCGGGGAUACAAGUGGGGGGUGAAAUCUCCCAGCUUAACUGGGAUAGGGUAUGCCAGACUGUAUUUCUAGAGGACGAGAGAGGGGGGUGGAAUUCCGGGUGUAGUGGUGAAAUGCGUAGAGAUCCCCAAGAACACCAGUUGCGAAGGCGGCUGACUGGACACAUAUUGACGCUGAGGCUCGAAAGCAUGGGGAGCAAACAGG